GAUGGGGGAUGCAAGCGUUAUCCGGAAUCACUGGGCGUAAAGCGUCUGUAGGUGGUGAUGCAAGUCACUGGUGCAAAACUCUGGCUCAACCGGAGGAAAGCCAGUGAAACUGCAUGACUAGAGUGUGGGAGAGGUAGAAGGAAUUCCACGAGUAGAGGUGAAAUGCGUAGAUACAGGGAAGAACACCGGAGGCGAAAGCGUUCUACUGGAACACAACUGACACUGAGAGAAGAAAGCUAGGGGAGCGAAUGGG
rnacentral:rRNA from 1 species